rnacentral:lncRNA from 1 species
UUCAACUACCAGGGCACCAAGCGCUGGCUUGAGGACAGCCUGGAUCACACAGACUCCAGCCUCCUGCAGGACAACGUAGCCUUUGUUCUAUGCCUGGACACCGUGGGACGUGGCAGCCACCUGCGGCUGCAUGUGUCCAAGCCUCCGCGGGAGGGGACACUGCAGCAUGUCUUCCUGCGCGAGCUGGAGAUGGUGGCUGCGCACCAGUUCCCUGACGUCAGCUUCUCCAUGGUACACAAGAAAAUCAAUCUAGCAGAUGACGUGCUGGCCUGGGAGCAUGAGCGCUUUGCCAUCCGGAGGCUGCCCGCCUUCACGCUGUCCCAUCUGGAGAACCACCGCGCAGGGCCCCGCAGCAGCAUCAUGGAUGUGCGGUCCCGGGUGGACUCCAAGACCCUGACUCGGAACACAAGGAUCAUCGCUGAGGCCCUAACAAGGGUCAUCUACAACCUGACAGAGAAGGGGACGCCCCCAGACAUGCCAGUGUUCACGGAGCAGAUGGUCCAGCAGGAGCAGAUAGACUCA